CCGCCCAGCAGCUGCCAUUCACACAAACAGCACCAAGGGGCAAUGUUUGCAUAUUGUGUUAAAGAGUUUUGAAAGCACUUCGAGCCAUGGAAGUUAAGAGGACAAACUCAGACACAGAAUCGCAGAAUCACAGACUCAAACAAUACGCUGAGAUGGAAGGGGGCCACCAGGAUCACAGAGUCCAACUUCUGGCCCUGCACAGGACACCCCAACAAUCCCAUCAGGUGUUGCAGAGCAUCAUCCAAAUACUUUACGAACUCUGUCAGGCUUGGUGCUGUGACCACUGCCCUGGGGAGCCUGUUCAGUGCCCAACCACUCUGUGUGAAGAACCUUUUCCUGAUAUCCAACCUAAACCUCCCCUGCUGCUCUUGUUGUUUUCAGCUUUCAAGUGGCCACCCCUUUCUUACGUUUCUGCGGCUUUCCAGCCGAGCUACCUAAAGACAUGAAUAAACUGUCAAUCUCUCGUGCA